UACGUAGGGUGCAAGCGUUGUCCGGAUUUAUUGGGCGUAAAGAGCUCGUAGGCGGCUCAGUAAGUCAGGUGUGAAAACUCCAGGCUCAACCUGGAGACGCCACCUGAUACUGCUGUGGCUAGAGUCCGGUAGGGGAGCAUGGAAUUCCUGGUGUAGCGGUGAAAUGCGCAGAUAUCAGGAGGAACACCAGUGGCGAAGGCGGUGCUCUGGGCCGGAACUGACGCUGAGGAGCGAAAGCGUGGGGAGCAAACAGG
rnacentral:rRNA from 1 species